rnacentral:rRNA from 1 species
AGCGAACGCUGGCGGCAGGCUUAACACAUGCAAGUCGAACGCCCCGCAAGGGGAGUGGCAGACGGGUGAGUAACACGUGGGAACGUACCCUUUGGUUCGGAAUAACUUGGGGAAACUCAAGCUAAUACCGGAUAAGCCCUUACGGGGAAAGGUUUACUGCCGAAGGAUCGGCCCGCGUCUGAUUAGCUAGUUGGUGAGGUAACGGCUCACCAAGGCGACGAUCAGUAGCUGGUCUGAGAGGAUGAUCAGCCACACUGGGACUGAGACACGGACCAGACUCCUACGGGAGGCAGCAGUGGGGAAUAUUGGACAAUGGGGGCAACCUUGAUCCAGCCAUGCCGCGUGAGUGAUGAAGGCCUUAGGGUUGUAAAGCUCUUUUACCCGGGACGAUAAUGACUGUACCGGGAGAAUAAGCCCCGGCUAACUUCGUGCCAGCCGCCGCGGUAA